AAGUUCCUUACAUGUUUUGGAAAUUAACCCCUCACCAGAUACACAAGUGACAAAUAUUUUCUCUUUUUCCUCAUAGCCUGCCUUUAGCGAUUCUUAACAUAGUCCAUGGCCAUGACAACAUCAAAGAGUUGUGAGCCAAAUGUUCUUCGACAGGAAACUGGGGAUGGGUGCCACAGUAAUGGACCACACACCCCAGCUUUCAUGAAGCUGCUUACACAUGUGAGUUGCUCUGCAAGGUAGCA
rnacentral:lncRNA from 1 species